rnacentral:rRNA from 1 species
ACGAACGCUGGCGGCGUGCUUAACACAUGCAAGUCGAACGGAAAGGCCCUGCUUGCAGGGUGCUCGAGUGGCGAACGGGUGAGUAACACGUGGGUGAUCUGCCCCUUACUUUGGGAUAAGCCUGGGAAACUGGGUCUAAUACUGGAUAGGACCAUGCUGUAGGUGGUGUGGUGGAAAGAUUAGUUUCGGUAAGGGAUGAGCUCGCGGCCUAUCAGCUUGUUGGUGGGGUAAUGGCCUACCAAGGCGUCGACGGGUAGCCGGCCUGAGAGGGUGGACGGCCACAUUGGGACUGAGAUACGGCCCAGACUCCUACGGGAGGCAGCAGAGGGGAAUAUUGCACAAUGGGCGCAAGCCUGAUGCAGCGACGCCGCGUGGGGGAUGACGGCCUUCGGGUUGUAAACUCCUUGCAGCCAUGACGAAGCCCUUGUGGUGACGGUAGUGGUAGAAGAAGCACCGGCUAACUACGUG